GGCUUAAUGCAGUCUUCGGUGGCCUAGUGGUUAUGGCACCCGCCUCGGAUGCGGGAGGUCGUGGGUUCGAUCCCCGGUCGAGUCA